CUUCUCUCUGGCUGCACCAUAGUUCCAAGGGGAAAACAAGUGGCUGUCGCUGUUACUUAAUUUGAAGCUAAAGUCUGUCUACCCUGCAAAAGUCAGCUCUAUUUUCAAAAAGAACUUGAUUUUCGGUCUGAAUAAUCUCUUUCUGAAGUGGGCAAUGAACAAGUAAUAGAUUAAUAAAUUAAACUGAAGACUGAAAAUAAGGCACGGAAGUCACAGGACCCACUUCCCGAAAACAAGUGGAGGAGUUAACUUUCCACCUCUCCUGGCUGCAGAGCUUCACUCUGAAGAAUUCCUAUUUCCUGAAUUCAGACCAGCAAUGAUUGCUUCAGAAACUUCUGCUCAUGAGAUGUUACCAUAUAUCUGACCAUGAAUGCAUCCUAUUAAAAACAUUUUGAAUAUUUAUAUAA